rnacentral:rRNA from 1 species
CCUACGGGAGGCAGCAGUGGGGAAUAUUGCACAAUGGGGGAAACCCUGAUGCAGCCAUGCCGCGUGUGUGAAGAAGGCCUUCGGGUUGUAAAGCACUUUCAGCGAGGAGGAAAGGUUGGCGCCUAAUACGUGUCAACUGUGACGUUACUCGCAGAAGAAGCACCG